rnacentral:rRNA from 1 species
AUUGAACGCCGGCGGAAUGCUUUACACAUGCAAGUCGAACGGCAGCACGGACUUCGGUCUGGUGGCGAGUGGCGAACGGGUGAGUAACAUAUCGGAACGUAUCCAAUAAUGGGGGAUAACGAGUCGAAAGAUUCGCUAAUACCGCAUACGCCCUACGGGGGAAAGCUAGGGACCUUCGGGCCUGGCGUUAAUGGAGCGGCCGAUAUCUGAUUAGCUAGUUGGUGAGGUAAAGGCUCACCAAGGCGACGAUCAGUAGCUGGUCUGAGAGGACGACCAGCCACACUGGAGCUGAGACACGGUCCAGACUCCUACGGGAGGCAGCAGUGGGGAAUUUUGGACAAUGGGGGCAACCCUGAUCCAGCCAUUCCGCGUGAGUGAAGAAGGCCUUCGGGUUGUAAAGCUCUUUCGCAAGGGAAGAAAACUUAGUCUCUAACAUAGACUGAGGCUGACGGUACCUUGAUAAGAAGCACCGGCUAACUACGUGCCAGCCGCCGCCGUAAAAC